ensembl:lncRNA
CUUUUUUUCCUUGUGAUUUGAACACACAUGAUGUUGUAAUUAUGUCUUCCCAACUCAUCAAUACAACUGAAACAGAAAAUAUGGGUGUGGUAUAUAUCAAAAAGCCCUCCCCUUUUUAAAAUAGCCAAUGGGCUUUAGUUUACAUCACAGGACUCAAACAUGAUUUGCUAGGCAGUUUUAGUGCAUAUAAUAUAAAAUAAAGUGGGGGGAAAAGGUAAAUAAAUAUACUACAUCAGUUAUUCUCAAGUUCACAGGGUGCUCUGGCAAAAUAAUCAUAGGUGCAAAAACCCCAAAAUAUUCUGAACACGAGAAUGGAUCAGGAUUGAAGACAAGUCACUGGAUUUUGUUUCUGAGGUAGUGAAUGUACGAUGAAACCAUCACACAGGCCAGUUUGGAUGAGGUUUAUUCUUUCUUACGCAACAAGUUUGUCUUCACUUUACACAAUGGGCUGGAUGAGGAGCUCUGCUGCUUCAGUGGCAUCAUGACCCUGCUUCAGGUCCAGAAUGACUACUUGUCCAUGCACUGCAGACUUGGCCAUGGGACUGAGACCAUCCAGGAGCCGAGGAAUCUUCUAAUAAAGAAAUUGUAAAGCCCUGCAACAGAUGGUAAGACUAUUUUUCUUAGAAAUUAAUACUUUAAACCCAUCUUUCUAAUAGAGGGCACACUACCACUUUUACACACCUCUGUAAGUAUCAUUCUCUGUCCUCUUCCAUAUGUAACUUAACAACAUCUAUUUUCUGAAAGUACCCAUCUGUGUGACACUGAAUGGUUGUGGAGUCUGACAGAAGAAAGCAAUCAGAGUCUCCAAAGCAGAUUCACCCUCAUUGGCCUCAACAGUACAUUACGGGUCACACGCCUAAUUUCUUAGGUCAUCUCACCACUUGCUCCUAUUACUUAGAGGCAGUUGUAAUCACUGGACCUUGCAACACUCAAUUAGGGCUUAAUUGGAUUGGUGUGUGUUCCUGGUGAAACUGUCAGUCCCCUGUUCAAUUGAGAAGACAGAGCUGAUUAUUACUGUUGACAAGUGUAACACACAGAGCUGGACGCAGCUGCUGCUU